CGGAGGAUCCAAGCGUUAUCCGGAAUCAUUGGGUUUAAAGGGUCCGUAGGCGGUUUAUUAAGUCAGUGGUGAAAUCUGGUCGCUCAACGAUCAAACGGCCAUUGAUACUGAUAGACUUGAAUUAUUGGGAAGUAACUAGAAUAUGUAGUGUAGCGGUGAAAUGCUUAGAUAUUACAUGGAAUACCAAUUGCGAAGGCAGGUUACUACCAAUGGAUUGACGCUGAUGGACGAAAGCGUGGGGAGCGAACAGGAUUAGAUACCCUGGUAGUCCACGCCGUAAACGAUGGAUACUAGCUGUUCGGAGCAAUCUGAGUGGCUAAGCGAAAGUGAUAAGUAUCCCACUGGGGAUACGUUCGCAAGAAUG
rnacentral:rRNA from 1 species